GGGAAAACCGCUGGAACAGAGAAGCAUGUCCCACAAGUAUUCCCCUAUGGGAAGACAUCAGAUUUUGUAUUCUCUCUUACUGGAAUGGUUUUGGUCUAAGUUUCUUUUCCUGCCCCUGCUCUGGGAGUUUUAUGACUGUUCUGCCUGUCCGCAAUGAUCUCAUUCUCUCCAGCUGACAUGUAUAAGCUCUGCAUGGACAUGACUCAACCGUCUCUAAGUCCGCCAGUCUGCUCCGACAUGGAACAGUGCUCAGAAACACCAACGCGCCUCUCCAGCCUUUGGGUAAAUGCAUUCGGCCGUGAGUUCAGCAUUUCCAGUCAUGUGGCCUUCAUCUUUUUUUCAAGAUCCUAUUGAAGUUGUUGGUUCAUGAGAUGCACGAGUCAAAUCCCAAGACUGUGGAUCACUUAAUCCUCUCACUUCGCAUGUAGUUUUAUGCCAGGCAGUUGGAGUGUUUGUACCUAAGCUGAAUGCAGAUCGAGGGAGUUGUUGGAUCAGGCCCCUGGAGGUUAGUGCCAUCUGAAAGAUUUCAAGCUGCCAAAUAACAUAAAAGUCAUGGCUUCCAGUUCUCAAAAUAGUGUCCAUGAAAGUCAUUUUGAAAUUGUAUUGUGUAGGAGAAACCAGUUAACUACUACAAAUGUUACUAGUUUCUCUGAGGGGAGAGAAGUAAAAGAGAGCAUCUGUCAUUUGUUUCAGUGGCCAGCGCAGCCCAAACCAUGACACCAAGGUAAGGCAAUCUAUUUUUUCAACUUUGCCUUCCAAAAUAGCACAUUCAUAUUAUAAACACCUUUGGAAGUUUUCCAAGAUGAAAAGUGUUUAGUGAGCGUCUUUCCUCGGACAGGAACAUUAAGUAAUCCUAGUAGAUUAAUAUUAAUUUGAUUUUAUUAUUGCCAGCAGUUUGGUAAAUUUGGUAUUGUUUGACUGCAGAGGAGCAUCAGGCACAUUGUGCACAGCAUUGUAGUGACAGUCUGCAAAAGCCUACCGAGCACCACCUGGGCUAGCAGGGGACUAGCCAUCUGAAUGAUGAUGUUGAGACUAUUAUUAAAUAUUUACUGAGCCAUCAGGACUCCUCAAAUCACUAUGUAAAGCUGUUGUGAGGUAUUAGUAUUGCCACAGGCUAUUCAUGUUACUCACUUUUGAGGUUCACCCCUCUAGAGAGAAUAGUGAUAAUCUCCCCAGCUUUCCAAUCCAAAGAACAGAAAUCACCUACU
rnacentral:lncRNA from 1 species